rnacentral:rRNA from 1 species
AACGAACGCUGGCGGCAUGCCUAACACAUGCAAGUCGAACGAGACCUUCGGGUCUAGUGGCGCACGGGGGCGUAACGCGUGGGGACCUGCCCUUAGGUUCGGAAUAACUCCCCGAAGGGGGUGCUAAUACCGGAUAAUGUCUUCGGACCAAAGAUUUAUUGCCUUUGGAUGGGCCCGCGUUGGUUUAGCUGGUUGGUAGGGUAAAAGCCUACCAAGGAGACGAUCCAUAGCUGGUGGGAUAGGAUGAUCCGCCACACUGGGACUGAGACACGGCCCAGAAUCCUACGGGAGGGAGGAGUGGGGAAUAUUGGACAAUGGGCGAAAGUCUAAUAAAGCAAUGCCGCGUGAGUGAUGAAGGCCUUAGGGUUGUAAAGCUCUUUUACCCGGGAUGAUAAUGACAGUACCGGGAGAAUAAGCUCCGGCUAACUACGUG